UGUGAUUCAAAUAUCAUUCCUGUCUGGUACUUGGGUCAAAUAGACAUAAGCAUACCAAAUCAUGCUAUGAAUUGAAAUACAAGUAUAGGGUGUGUAUUACUGUAUUGUUUAAAUAAAUAUAUUUUCCAGUUAACCCAGUAAGCUGCAUUGUGCCCCAAUGCACCCUACUUUACUAGUUUAUUUCACUUCAUCUAAUGCCAGAUGAUUUUACUUAUCGAGGGAGAGUGCUGCUGCUCAUUGAGCUCUGAUUGAGUUCACUGAAUGGCAGCACUUUCCCCUUGACAAGUGAAAUUGUCUGGUGUUAGACAGAGUAAAAUAAUCUUGCGUUCACUAAAGUAGCUACUUUUUCAAAAGCUCAACUAGGCUAAAGAUUCUUUGAUUUGAAAACCAAAGUGAUAGUGAACUAGUUAGUUGAAACAAACAGAAUUGUUUGAUUUAUUUACUUUCCACAACAUUGACAAUUAAAAUUUAAUUUGAUACUUUUCCAGUAUGCAUUCUUCAUUGACAUUAUAGAGGUUCAUAUUUGACUACCAUUACCAUUAAGGGACCAUCAAAUGCAUUUGAUAUAUUCGAUCAACCAUUAUAACCAAUCAGAUGCAUACUAAAGCCGCGUUCACACUAGCGGCCCAGGCCUGGCCUGGACCUAGCCUGGGUCUAGGUGUGAACGGGUUUUACCUGGCCUGAGCCUGGCCUAAGUCAAGAAAUCCAGGCCAGCAAAUGUAGGUGGCCUGGACCUGGCCUGGCCUUGAUCAUCACUGGUGUGAACAGGUUUUUCCUGUGCCUGGCCUGGGCGAGGCCCCGUUACCAUCGCAAUAUCUGCCCACAAUAAAAACUGGUCAGAUGAUUGUCAUACAAUUGGAGGGAAAAACAUUCAAAGCGCAAAAUUAAAUACUUUAGUGGAACACAAGGACGUUUAUAUUGACGCCUGAUUGCUUUGGCCUGGAGUUGGGCGUCAAGCCAGUGUGAAUGCGACACAAUUGGCCCAGGCCAGGUCAAGGCCAGGCCUGGGCCGCUGGUGUGAACGCGGCUUAAGGCAGUCAGAGAUAGUGCUAGUAGAACUCAAAUCUUAACCUCUACAAUGAAAGUGCGAGUUUAUUCAUAAACUAAUUAUACGUAAAUCAACUUUCAUGCAAUCAUCUAGUUAUGCACCAGUCAAUGUAAAUCCCUGCCCCCAACCGGGGAGGGGCGGGAGGUUUAGUGGGGAAAGUGGUCUGUUUUGAUUAUAAAUUUGCCCCGAUGAUGGGAGACUUGGACGGUGGUUAAUAUAUAUAUCCUGUGUUGCUGUUUUAGUUUUCUUGACAAGAAAAGUUUAAAUACAACAACAUAUUAAAUGAAUUUGAUUUUCUAUUGCUGAUCUAUGAUUAUACAAAACUAUUUUCCCGCGGUUGAGAGACAUGCAGGGGACAUUGAUGUCCCUGGGGGCGGGACAAUUUUGCUCUUUUACUACCCCUCCAAGUCAAAAUCCCUGCCCCUCCCCGGUUGGGGGGUUUACAUUGACUGGUGCAUUAAUUAAAGAAGUGUCAGUGCCACAUAUGUAGUAAAAGCCAACUUGUCAGUAAAGGCCACAGAGCAAGAUUGUAUUUCAAAGAUUGCCAGUGACAAAAACAAUUGAUAGACUGAUAGGCCUGAAAUAGAGUAUGCCAACAGUUAGUAUACUGCAAAUAACUAUUCUAUCAACAAGAUAAUGUGUGUUUUUACAAAUGUUUUUAUAUAUCAAUCCAAUGGCAUGUAACCUAAAAUUCAGCAGUGUCUGUGUAAUGUAAUACACCCUUACUUCUCAAUGGUCAAAUUAACUAUACUACAUUGUGUAUAAUAAUAUAUGGACUGGUUCAAAAAUAUAUUGAAU